rnacentral:rRNA from 1 species
ACGAACGCUGGCGGCGUGCUUAACACAUGCAAGUCGAGCGGUAAGGCCUUUCGGGGUACACGAGCGGCGAACGGGUGAGUAACACGUGGGUGAUCUGCCCUGCACUUCGGGAUAAGCCUGGGAAACUGGGUCUAAUACCGGAUAUGACNUCNKRUNGCAUGRYKKGKGGUGGAAAGAUUUAUCGGUGYAGGAUGGGCCCGCGGCCUAUCAGCUUGUUGGUGGGGUAAUGGCCUACCAAGGCGACGACGGGUAGCCG